rnacentral:rRNA from 1 species
GGUGGAGCAUGUGGUUUAAUUCGAAGCAACUGCGAAGUACCUUACCAGGGCUUGACAUCCUGAGGAACUUUCCAGAGAUGGAUUGGUCCCCUUCGGGGAACUCAGUGACAGGUGGUGCACGGUUGUCGUCAGCUCGUGUCGUGAGAUGUUGGGUUAAGUCCCGCAACGAGCGCAACCCACGUUGUUAGUUGCCUGUAAGAACCUGUUCUUGCAGUGCUCUCUAGCGAGACUGCCGGUGAUAAACCGGAGGAAGGUGUGGACGACGUCAAAUCAUCAUGCCCCUUAUGUCCUGGGCUACACACGUGUUACAAUGGGUGGGACAACGAGCAGCCAAUCAGCGAUGAUGAGCAAAUCUCUUAAACCUACUCUCAGUUCGGAUCGUAGUCUGCAACUCGACUACGUGAAGUCGGAAUCGCUAGUAACCGUAGAUCAGCACGCUGCGGUGAAUACGUUCCCGGGUCUUGUACACACUGCCCGUCACACCAUGGAAGCUGAUCACGCCCGAAGUCAGUGUGCUAACUCAAUGAGA